AUCCGUAUAUAAAAUCUGUAUAUAAUAUUGACGCGUUUGAGCGGGAAUUUUAGCCAAGGAUAGAAUCAGUAGAUAAAAAAUUAAAGUCCUUAUGUAAUUCCAAAAGUUAUUACCUUCCGAAAUUACAUACGAAUAUUUAUAAUUAAUUAUUAAAAAAAUAAAAAACAAAACUUUAUAUACUAAUUUAUAAUCUGUAUGUAAGUAAAAAAAUAAUUAUUAAGAAUAAAAUCUAAAAAUACUUUUCCCUCUUUUUACGAUUACCUUUUUCCCACUAUUCUCCAAAAUCUAAAAAUUUUACAUUUUUUUCCCUCAAUUUUCCAAAAUCUAAAUUUUACAAAUUCCAUUCAAAAUUUAUGAAUAAUCUUAGUAACUACUCUGAGUUCUCUCAAAGCAUGAACCCUAUAACGGUUUCUUCUCCUUUCUUCUCCAGAGAUUGCCACACCUUCUCUAGAGAUAUAUGAAGGCUUCUGAGCUCACUAACUGAUAUACAAAGCCCUAGUCUAACUUCCUCUUGCUCACUCUUAGUUCAGCCCCUCCCGUUGCUUCCACUCUCGUUCACUCUUAGCUUAGUCCGUCAUUCACUGUUGUUGGCUUCACCCAUCUUGCCUGAGUCCCUUCUUACCAUUACUCUCCGUCGCCGAUAGUCCAUGCCACCGUCUCGCCGUGAGUCCCUUUCGUAAUCACUCUGGCUCUCAUUCGCUCUCGCUAUUACUGCUUGUGUCCAUCAGUCCCCCUCGGCGUCACUCCCUCUAGAGUUGGCAUUGUAAGUCACGGUCACAGGGUUGCUUCAUCUGGUAAUAGCUUCUCUCAUAGUUCAUUCAUAAAACCCUAAAAUUGGAAGAUCGGAAAACCCUAAUUUAAGGUAUGUUUCGGUGAAAUUUUUUUUUCUCAUUAUGUUUUUGUUGGAGUUUUUUUAAGACUGUGGAAAAUAGGGUAAUGUGAGUACUUGAAGGCUAUGCUCUCUGUUUAAUUAGUAUACAUUAGAUUGAAAGUUUUAUAGGGAUAGUAGACCCUGAAAAAAGGAUUCUCGAUCUUGUUAAUGAAGAUGAUGAUUCUAUUCAAAAGCAUGUAUUUUAAUUCGAAAUAGUUAUUACCAUUGCUGAAGUUUGAAUGAAAGAGAUACCCUUCCUCUACUUCCUUUUUCCCAGCGCAGAGUGGACUCUCAGAAACAAAUGCCGCACUGGAAUUUGCGGUGAACUCCCUUCUAGUAAGCAUUUUUUUUUUACUUAAAAAGUGUAAGGCAAGAUUUAUCCUCAUCAUUUGAAACUUUUAAUGUGUUUGUUACUUUUUCUAUCAUCUAUUUAAUUAUACUUGGGACUGCACAUUCUUUGAGUUUAAUGAUCUAAAAAACAAAGUAUGUUUCUUCAAGCUUCGUUCUUUUAUGGAUUUCUUUGAAUUUCUUUUGGAGUAAUGAGAGGGUGACAUUUACAUUCAUUUGAUACAAUAUUGGUCAUAUAAAAGAACUUUGAUUUGGUGAAAUUAUGGCAUCAAAAUGGGAUUGUUGUAAUUACUUCAUGGCCCCUCUUCAUCUCCAUUUAUUAAGUGUAAGCAUUUCACUUUCACACUUUGGAUUUUCUUCAUCUUCUUUCUUUAAUAAAUUAAGGAUUAUGGAAUCAUGGAUCAUUCUUCUCUUGUCAGUUAAAUUUAUCAUUCUUCUAUUUGUCAAUUCUCUAUUUGAUUCUUCUUAAAAGUUAAGUUUAAAUGGUUGUGUUUUAUAUAUAAUCUGUAAUUCUAUUUUGUUCUGUUAAGAGUUUCAAAGAGGUAAUGUACAAGUUAUGCUUUUGAAAUUUGAAUAUAGCUGAAACAUGUUAAAAAUCCCAUAUUUAAGAUAUCUCAAAGUUGUCAUGAGAUUCAAUGUAAGGGAAGAAAUGGGAAGAAACACAAAUGUUUGCAUUGUGACAUGGAUUGUAUGAUCCUAGUAGAAGUAUGAAAUAUGUGUGAAGAACUUUCUUUAAAUCACUACCAGUACUUAGGCAUUCAAAUAAUGAUUGAUGUUCUCACUUUCCAUAUGGUUUCAUUGUUUAGAUAAAAUUUGUACAACUUAUAAUCAAAUGAGUAAUCAAACAUAUUAUUAUUAUUAUAUUACACAUGAUGGGUAAUUCUAAAUGUUUAGGUAUCAUUCAUGAUAUAUAUGUAGGCAUGGAAUGUUUCCACUUUUGAGUGCUUGGGUAGAUGGUCCUGAAUCUGUAACUCAGUGUCCAAUACGUCCUGGUGAAAGGUAUACCUAUAGAUAUAAUAUAACACGACAAGAAGGUACCCUUUGGUGGCAUUCACACUCUUUUUUUCUACGAUCAACUAUUUAUGGGACUCUCAUCAUUCGCCCUUGAAAAGGAAACACCCUUUUCCUUCAUUUUACCAAGAUGUCCCCCUAUUGAUUGAUGUAUACUACAAGAAAUAUUGGAAUUAUAUAUGGACUAUUAUAUAGGUAUGUAUUUUUAAUGUAUGUUAAUUAUGAUGCAGGGGCUAGUUUUUUAAACAUUAUAGUUUGUUCUGUCAUCCAACAUGAUUUGAUUUUUAUCUCUGCAGUCAUGUCGGUAUCCAGGUGGAAGAUAAUAUAUCUAUUCUAUGCUUAGAUUUAUGAUGAAUGGUAUGAGUAAAGAUAUCCUUGAUUUCUUUUAUUUGUUUUUAGAGGCGGCUUGGUUUCUACUAUUUAACCAUUUAACCUAUUUAGAUUACUUAGUGUGUUUAUAAAGAAAUUUACUUAUUGUGUUUCAGUUCAAUCAUUUCUAUAAGAAUAAGAAUCAAUUAAAAAGAAAAAAGGCUUUAUCAUUUUUCUGUUAAUUGUUCUAACUAUAUAGUAUUUAUAAUUUGUCUAUUAAUGCGGGUGCUUCAUGCUACAAUGAUGAAGCGGUUUGAGAUUGCAGAGAGCUGGUGGAGAAUUUGAAUGCAUCAAAUGGUCAAGUAAAUUUCUUUUUGGAGUGUAAUUGAGAUGCUUGAAGUGAAAAUUAGAGAAUUUGUGUGCAAUUUCAACAUUGUAUUGGAAGAGAUAUCAUUAUCCAAACAAAAUCUUUCCAUGCCUCUUGAUUGUAUGAAAAAUCGUAAAUUUGAUAUUGGUUUAGUGAUAGAGAGAAUCCAAGAUUCAAUAUCAGAAGAGGAUAAGAGGUUGAUCUAUCUUGGAGAUGGAAGUGGAGACUAUUGUCCAAGUUUGAGGUUGAAAGAGAAGGACUUUAUGAUGCCGAGGAAGAACUUUCCAAUGUGGGAUCUGAUAUGCAGAGAUCCUUCACUUCUUAAGGCUGAGUUUCAUGGUUGGAGACUAUUCUCCCUUCAUUUCCUCUUAUUGCAAGCUUCAGACUCUGUCCGUCACUGCUCAUGAGGCUUUGCCCAAAGCUUUACCAGUUCGACCAUAGUUUCAUGGUUUUGUAACUUUUGCAAUGGACCAAAGUAGAAUAUAACAUGACUAAUUUUUGUCUCAAUAGUAUAAUAGUAUAUAUUGCAUAGUCAGUUACCUCUGCCUUAAUUUCUGUAAUAUCCGAUGACAAUCUAGUUACAAUGAGGUAGGACCAUCCAGUUGUAAACAUCACAUUUUAAUAAAAAUUGAGAGAUAUUUGGUAUUA